rnacentral:pre_miRNA from 1 species
UGGUUUGAGAGGUUGAAGCUGCCAGCAUGAUCUGGUAAUGAACGUGUUACUCUCAUUUAUAUAUAUAUAUAUUAACAUUAAUCAUAUAGCAGUAUUUGUAGGUAGAAAAAAUUUAAUGUUGUCAAAGAUAUAUACUGAAUCGUGGUAGCUAGGUUUGUAUUACUAGUUUAGGAUGCAAGUUUUUGAUCUUAUGAUGAUCAAUUGCUUGUGAGUUCUUUGGCAAUGAAAACAGAAUAUACUGGUGAUUUUUCCCAGUAAAAUUGUCGAGAAAAGGGAAUUGCACUAAUAGGGAAGACGCAUAGGUAAACUUGUACCUAAAUGGUAUAUGUAUUUUCCAGGCAAAAGGGUAGAAACCUAAUUAGAAACUAGCUUGAACUCAGAGCUAUAAAAGUAUAUGGUUCCAUCAGGUCAUCUUGCAGCUUCAAUCACUCACUCA